GCUUAAAGCAGAUGGGGAGUCUAAUCGCUGCGUUGCAACUCGGCCGAAAUCACAAGGAGGAGGGAUUUGUUUACGUUCCACGACUUAUGCCCUAAUUCCUUCAGGAUAUUACAGGAUGACGAACGUUUUGAAUCAAAGAAUCAAAGGGUUUUGUGAAUUAUUAGUAAGAUUGAAUGGUGUGGGAAAAAUAUUGGUUUGAUUUCCGUGUCUAUUAAAUCGUUAUUGAAUGACUGCGAAAAUUGAUAGAUUUAUUAUUAAAACUACUCGGAAGGGAUCAUGUUCAUCUAAACACAAAUUAUAAUUAAUUUAAUGUAUUAUAAAAUGAGACACUGAAAACAGGUCUGUUGUGCAUUUGAUUAAAUUGCUGCAAAUUGGA